UCAAAAUGAAAUCCGACCCUCUGUUUGGUUACCAAGGAAAUGAAGAAAAAUAAAAGAAAAUCACAUUUUGCUGCCAAAUUUUUUACCGAUAGUCGGUUUUGAAGGUUGAAUCUACCCAACGUGUAGAUAUGAGGCCCCUUGCCUUCGCAGUGCCUGCCCUAAAACCAAUUGUUACGUAGCCAUUGGGUAGAGUUAAAAACCGGCUAUCAACGGGAGGGUGCCCAAGUGCUUAUAAGCCCAACUACUAAACUUCAAUUUGGCAACGUGGGACUCAACUGGGUCGUUACAGUAAGCCAAAGAGACAUACGAGUUUUAAGUAAAGUAGAAUUUCCUGUAUUCUUGAGCCUAGAUGGUGAAAAUUAUAUGAUUCAAAUUUUCUUUCAUUUUCUCAUUAUUUUCUCAGCACCCAAAUGAUUAUACCUAACCUGGAUAUAAUUUGAUUGAAUUUGGAAUAGAGAUUGCUGUAGUACCUUGAACUGAGAGAUGAAUCUAAAUGCAGCGUUUGGAGACUGAAUGAUCGAAUGCUUUUGUGUGGAUGGCAAUCGGCCCUCUUAUCCUGCAG
rnacentral:lncRNA from 1 species